UGGGCUUGACAUGUAGGGAAAAACUGCAGAGAUGCAGCGUCCUUCGGGGCCCUACAC
rnacentral:rRNA from 1 species